GGAUCCAGUUGAGCCAUUAAACCCGUGUGCUUUGUUCCCAGUCGCACCAGUCCCGUGAGCCUCCACUGCCUUCCCCUUUCUUCUCCGGUUUUGAUUCGAAGUUCCACCAUGCUCGACGAACAGUGCUUGAUCUUUCUCACCACCAUAAGAUUCUUCUUCUCUGAUCCUCUCUUUAUAUGCCUUCAUCCUGCCAACUACAUCAUCAAAAUUGGUAUUAUUUAGGUCUAGUAUAUGUUCCAGUGAUGCUACCAUAUGAAUGAAUUUUCGUGGCAGUGACUUAAGGAACUUCUUUACAAGCUUGGAUUCGUCGAUCACAGAUCCUAAUGCUGCCGAUUUUUAAGAAAUUCCGGACAGCUUUUCGGAGAAAUUGUCGAUCGUCUCUGAUUCGUUCAUCCUAAGCUGAUCGAAUUCGACACCUAGGGUUUGAAGACGGGCCUCCUUCACUCGAUCAACCCCAAUGUAUCGAUCCUUGAUUACGUCCCAAAGCGCCUUCGAAGACUCGACUUCUCUGAUUUGCAUGAUUAAUGAUUUCGGGAUCGCCUGAUACAAUAAUCCCAUUGCCAGGUAAUCCUUUUCAUCGUUUUCUCUAAUUCUGGGUCGAUAAUACUCCACGCUUUAUGAAUUUUUAAAACAACCUUCAUACGCAGGGACCAAGCUGUGUAAUUUGUGGUAUUGAGCAUGGGACAUUGAACCGAGGUCGCUCCAGUCUCCUUCUCCCUCCUCAGAGCACCGCCUCAAGACCCUUCAUCUCCUAUCAUGUCGACCACCUUCUUCAACAGGUAAGUAAAUUGAUUUCAAAACCAUAUGUUCUUGGCUCUGAUACCAAUUCAAGUCAAGAAUGUAUAACACAAACAAUUAAUCAAACUAUCUCUUUGAUUAAAUGAGGAAAUAACUGAAAACUCAAUUUGUGAAUACAAUCUCUUACCCUACACGGCUAAACAAGAUGUAUAUAUAUAUAUAUAUAUAUAUAUUCUAAUCUACCGACUUGUAAUUAGAUCACAAUUAGGAAACUAAAAACUGACUUGGACAUAGUUUCCUAAAAACUAAGUUGAUUUUGUUUGGUCUCCAAGUCCUACUCGACUUAGGAUUCCAACAUAUGUUUUACAUGAGAAAUUCCAUUUGUUACAUGCCUGGAUUCGGUCGGAACAAAAGGCUAACAUAAAACACCCAAGAAACUUAAAAAUUAGUAAGAUAUGGAUGUAUUAUAAAAUUAUAUUAACAAAAGACUGAAAGAGAAUGUUGGUGGUAUAACACAGUGAUAAGUUUAUCACUUUAGUAACAUUAGUAAAUGGACUAUUAUAAGAUGAUCAAGUAUAUGCAUCCUUCAUAAAAUACUUAUUGCUAUAUGUAUUCUUUUUUAUCAUGAUUAUUUUUACUUUUUGACACAAAUGAAAAAAUAAAUCGUAACCAUAAAAUUUUUAGUCACAUGAUUUUUUUUAAUAAUUUAUCACCAUAAAAUUAAAUUAUGACAAAAAAAUAGUUAUUGUCAUGUUUCUUUUCUUUUAUCAUGACAAGUUUACUUUUUAGACAUAUAAAAAAAAAGUAAACGACAACCUUAAAAUACUUAUAGUUACAUGUUUUUUCUUUUACUAUGUUGCUAAUAAACACUGCCAUUUGGUCACAUAAAAUAAUUUUAGUCACCAUAUAAAUUAGAUUUUUGUAACAGUUUAUUCAUGUAACAAAUUUCACCCUAUUAUUUCGUCACAUAAAUUUCGACUUUGUAUGAGCUUAUGUAUUUAUCAUUUCAAUUAAUAAUCAUCAAAAGAUUAAUCUACAUAUCAAACAAAAAACCGUAACAAGUGAUGACAUAUGGCCAUACUGUUCAACCCUGGCUCGUACUUGUCAUAAUUUUAAUGCUAAAUCGUGGCUAAAGGUGUAAAUAUGAUUUAAAAUGGUCACAAUAAUUUAGCUAAAGUAUGGCUAAAACAAUAUUAGAACAUCAUCAAUGACCGUUAUAUAUCAAAAUAUUCAAAAAUGUGGUCAAAUUGUUUUGACAAAAUUAUGGCCCUUGGUCAUUUGGUAUCGGUGUUCAAAGGGAAUUUUCAAGGGCACAAUUCCUAUGAGCUCUUAUAGAACCAGCAAAAAAUUUAUGAACAUUACAAACAUACUAGUAAGAACCUAAGUACUCCGUAGUUUAUAGAGAAUUAUGUGAGACACAUACUGAUUAUUUAUACGAAUGAUAGAAUGAUUCAAAGAGUACGAGCCUACUAUUUUCCUAGUAAAAUAAUAACUUCUUAAAAUACGGUUCAAAGGGCAACACCAACCUAUCCUAUGAAAGGUUUAACUAAUGUAUUUUAUCUCGGUGGCUUGAAAACGGUCAGAUGUUUUAUAUGAGGAUUGUUGGAAAAAUGGGUUUAUCCAUACUCCAAAAAUAGGCUAUCUCUAUUUCUAAACACAAAUCCAGAUGUUGGUAUAAUAUGCGCUUAAAACGUAGUUAAAAUGAAUGAGAAACUAAUCUUUAAAAUGAAUUAGUUUGAUGAUUUAGAUAAAAAUUAUUAAUGAGCUUAAAUAAUCUCAUAGAGGAUGGAGGUUGAACAAGAAGUUUGUAUAUAACUUAGUAGAAUUUAUUUUUCUCCUUAUAAAACUUAUAGUGUCAGGUCUCUCUCUUGUGUCUGUAGAGGGUGAAGCUACGAACCAAAGUGCCUUGGUUCACUAAACUUGUUUGUGAGCGUGCACGAAUACACCGCUCUACCAAAUAAGUCCAUGGCAUUUAAGUAAAUAUUUCUAUUUCAUUACUAAAAGUUUAAUUUAUAUCAAUUACAAACCUUGCAUUAAACAUAAUAUUAAUCACAUAUUUUCGGUUUUGAUUUUUUGGUUAAUGUUUGUCAUCAAUUCAUCUAUUGCAUAGUUGAUGCCAAUGUGUCGGUUAUACAUUUUUCUCGGUAUAAAUACUACACUUUAUGAGAUAGAUUGAGACAUCUUAUAUGUUAUUGAAUCUCUUCCUCUACCUAUUUCUUGUGUUUCCUGACACUUUCAAGGUAGAAUUCAUGGCUAAAUGUGGGCAGUCUCCAAGAAGCGCUUUUAGUUGUUGCAUCCUUGGAAACAAAUGUUUGAUUGCGCGAGAAUUUAUUCUAAGAACACCAUGUUAAAACAUGUUAUCAUUUUCUGAUUUCUUGUUUGUUUUCAUAUAUUACCGUAAUAUAUUUUUCUACAAAACAACAAUGUUUAAAUAUCCAAAAAUAAAAUCAUUAAAAUCCAACAAUAAUAUGUCAUUUGUUUUGAUUAACUUAGAGAUGGAUCAACAAGGAAUCUUUAGAUUAUGUAGUUAAGUUCAUCAAAACUAAUGAUGACAUUUAAUGAUUUUAACUAUUAUUUUAAAUUUAAGAUAUUGUAAAUUAAGAAGUAAUGCGACUGACCUUGUGCUUUUUUUUUUGGCAAUAAUGGCCUCCAAAACGAGGGUGUCCAAACCAGCUUAUGCGUACAUUGACUAAUCCUCCAUGGGAACAUGAAGUUAUGUCAUUUGCCCCGGAGUUAUAAAAAAUGAACCUCCAUGGCCACCCGAAGAAUAACAAUGUUAGGAUUCGAACAUGGGUUGUAACUUAUCCAUCAUAUCUUCUAUAUGACUUACCCCUACACCAUAAUCCUUGUGGUUGAGAAUGAGCUUUUGUUAGUCAAGUGGGGAAAAAAUUAUUGACCAAAUUGUACAUGAGAAUGAAAAGUUGAAAUUAUUUUCACUAAUCUUGUAGAUGUUGAUGUGAUUAUAAAGAGGUAAUCAGCCAGGGGGAUUGUUUGUAACAUCCUUGAAUGUUUAGGAAAAUUUAAUAUGUAUUUUGCUAUGAUUGUACAUUACAACAAGUGAAUUCUUAUUUUCAAUACUGUUAUGUUAAUAAGAAUGAAAGUUUAGUAUAAUGAGUUCCGAUAAGAUUUAUACAUUUUUUGAUGAAGUGCAUAUUUUUGAUGAAGUAAGGAUUAAAACUUGAAAGAAAUGAAAGUUACCAAAGUAUGUUGCUUAAAACAGGAACUUAAAGACAUUACACGGCCCGUGUAAAAUUACCUUUGGAAAACAACAUUCGUUCAAAGGAUCACAAAUUAUCUUUUUCAAAAUACAUUGACCAAAUCGAAUUUUUUUAAAUUACCUAACCGUAUAAAAAUGACCUUGGGAAACACGGGCCAUGUAAUUCAAGGCACGAAAAACACGGCUAAUAUAACUUGGUGGACUUGAAGAUUAUUAGAUUAAAAGAACUUAUAUGGGCUCUUUGUCUCUCCAACUCUAUAAAACAUUUCAAUUACAUGUGAAAAUGAAUUUUGGUGUUCUUGAGCUUGAUUUGAAGGCAAACCAUGAUAUUUUAAGAGGAAAAAAGGAGUUAAACUUCAUUCAUAUGGGGGUUGUUUGGUAGGAUCAGAAUUUUUAAUAUCUGAAUUUUUAAGAUGUCUGAAUUUCUAAGAGGGUCUGAAUUUUUAUGUUCUGAAUUUUUAACAUGCAGAUUGUUUGGAACCUCUAAAUUGUUGUGCUGAAUUAUAAAACGACCAUUUUUUACCCUUUUAAAUUAAUUUUGUUGAAUUCAAUUUUUUUGUUUAUAACAUAACCGAACCAGCUUCUUCAAUAACUAUAAAAAAACAUAUACAUCAUACAAAAGAAUAUAAACAAUGUACUCUUAAGAUUAUCAAUAUAAAAGCUAAUGAAAUAAUGUAUACAAAUACAAUCAUAUAUGUUCUUAAACGCGGGAAUAGAAAAAUGUUGCUAAUCUAAAGACCAUAAUAACAACUCAAAGUUGAUUAAUUAAACCAAUUAAAGGAUAAUCAUUUGAUGACGAAAAUCUAUUACUUGCAAAUCCAAUACCACAUUCACGCCUAGUUUUCUGGGGCAUAAACAUUUUCCAUUUGAUUAGUUCCAGAUACGUAACACAUAAAAGUUGGACUUGCACUCACUUGCUCUUCUUGCUUUCAAAUUAUCUAUCAUAGACAAACCAAAGGAAAUAAAGUUAGGUUCUUUUGGUGCUUCAAAAUCUACAUUCAACUAUAAAUCAAAUCUCCAUACCAAGGUUUUGAGGACAAGAAACAUUACAACUUUUAUGCACAUCAGCUUAUUCAAAUGGAUACUAGGUCAAAGAAUCAUCAACCUUAAUGACAUCUUAAAACACAUACCUACUUAGCUGCCCCCAUUUAAUUAAAAUUUUUUUUUUGAAGCUUUUGAAGAUAAGAAACAUUACAAUUUUCAUUAAUUGUAUAUAUAAACACAACUAUACACCAAUUCAUUAAUCAAACUUUAAAUUUCAAAAACUUUUCAACAAAAUCAGCAAAUAAUUUCAUCAACUUUAGAGAAUAAUUUCAUAAACUUUUCAUCAUAGAUUCCUUGACAUCAUAGCGUAAAUUCCAUCAAAUAAUUUCAGCAAAAACAAAAAACAAUCAUUUUAGCAAAUAAAAGAUUGCCUUCACAUCUGACAUUUUAAGAGGUAAGUAAAAGAUUAAGAGGUAUUUUUUAAGAGUCUACCAAACACUGCAUAUUUGAAAUAUAAAGAGGUUGCCUCUUAAUUUUAGAAUUAUGAGGAAAACAAACAGGGCCUUAGAUUGAAAGUUAGCCUUCCCCCUUAACAACUUACUUUUACUCUAUUAAAUUUUUUGUAAAAGGAUAUGCAUACCCUAGAUUUUGUAUCUCUUGUAUGUUAAUUUUUUUAAUUAUAUUGAUAAGUUGAUUAUCAUGCAUAUGAUUUCAAGUAUAAACACUCAAGAUAAAAACAUACUAUAAAGUAUGAUAUGGUUACUUAGGGGUUUUGACACAAACCUUAAUUUUGAUUAUUAGUUUAAAUAUUAGAAAUUUAGUAUGGAUGAAGAAUUAGGACAUACAAAUAAGUUAUCCAUGACUAUUAAAUCUUACAAGCAUGGAUUUAGUACUAUAUCUAUAAGUUUCUAAAAGGAAAUGAGUGGUUGAAAGUUAGACUUGAUUUAUGGGUUGAAUUACACCCUUGAUUUCAUAUGAGUAUGUUAUGUUACUUGAAUAUGAUUAAAGAAGAUUUCNNNNNNNNNNNNNNNNNNNNNNNNNNNNNNAUAUAUAUAUAUAUAAAGAGAGAGAGAGAGAAAGAGAGAGAGAGUAGUUAGUGGUAAUUAAAUAUUAAUGGGGAGUUCAUGUGGAUCUUUUAUGAUGGGGUACAUGUCUUAGUUAUGAGUAUCCCGUUGUGGAAAUGGGAAGAUAUUACGAUGGAUUUUAUCACGAAGCUACCCAGGACCGUGCGGGGAGUGGAUUCUAUAUGGAUCAUCGUGGAUCGAUUGACCAAGAGCGCCCAUUUUGUCCCGAUUCAGGAGAGCAUCUCGGCCGAGAAGUUGGGCAACAUCUAUAUCAGGGAGAUAGUGGUGUGGCACGGGGUGCCAGUAUCAGUGAUUUCAGACAGAGAUGUGCGUUUUACUUCCAGGUUUUGGAAGAUGUUUCAUGACGAGUUGGGUACUCGUCUGCAUUUCAGCACCGCUUUUCACCCGUAGACGUAUGGUCAGAGCGAGCGGACCAUCCAAACUUUAGAGGAUAUGUUGCGGGCAUGUAUUCUGGAUUUCAGAGGUAGUUGGGAUACCUACCUCCCGUUGGCGGAGUUCUCAUAUAAUAAUAGCUAUCAUGCGAGCAUCGACCGUCCUCCCUUCGAGAUGUUGUAUGGGAGGAGGUGCAGGACCCCGAUAUGUUGGGGAGAGGUUGGCCAGAGGGUCAUGGGGAGCACCGAAGUGGUGCUCCAGACGAUCGAGAAGAUCCAACAGGUCCGGAGUAGGCUUCAGACUACUCAGAGUCGGCAGAAAAGUUAUGCCGACAAGCGCCGUUCAGACUUGGAAUUCCAAGUCGGGGAUAUGGUUCUUCUGAAGGUGUCGCUAUGGAAAGGCAUCAUCCGAUUCAGAAAGCGAGGCAAGUGGGGCCCAAGGUUCAUCGGGCCAUUCAGGGUUGUAGCCUGGGUGGGCAAAGUGGCAUAUAGGUUGGAUCUGCCAGCCGAACUCAGCCAGAUCCACAGGACUUUCCACGUCUCUCAAUUGCGGAAGUGUUUGGUAGACAACUCAGCAGUGGUGCCUUUGGAGGAUAUUCAGGUCGAUGACAGCCUGAAUUACAUCGAGCGGCCUGUGACAAUCCUCGACAGGAAGUCGAAGGAUCUAAGGAACAAGAGACAAGAGGGUGGAACUCGUGAAGGUGCAAUGGCAGCACCGGAAGGGAUCAGAGUGGACUUGGGAGCCGGUGGAAGAGAUGAUGGAGCACUACCCCGAGCGGUUUUAGGAUCGAGCAACAGACUUCGAGGACGAAGUCUAAAAUAAGUGGGGGAGAUUUGUAGCACCUGGUUCCUGGUACGUACUCCUUGUGAUUAAUAUUUUUUAAUAUAGUGUAUUUUUGCCUUGGACUCGGCGAGUUGAAGGACCAACUCGCCGAGUAGGAGCGGGAUAAGGCGCGGGGUUUGAACUUUGGACUCGGCGAGUCGGUCCCCGGACUCGGCAAGUAGACCUUGCUUGGACAAAAACCCUAAUCCGGGUGUUUGCAUCCUAUUUAAACGCUCUAACUUGGCCUCCUUUGUCCCUAACACUUCCAAAGAGCUGUAGAAAGAAACCCUAGCUCCCAUAUUGUUCUUGAGAGUGAUUUUGGCUUUGUGGAGAAGGUUUAGAGCUUAGAAGAAGAAGGAGGAGGUUGAAGUGUCCAAGGAGGGGAGGUAGAUCCGGAAUCUACACUGUUAGAAGCUUCCAUUCCAGUAGAAAAGUUCUUACCGUGAUCACUAGUUGAUUAGAUCCCCUUUUUGUCCCAAAUUAGUGGUUUUCAAGCCCUAAAACCUCAAACUCCAUGUAUUUAUGCUCUAAGUUCUGAAAGGACUUCAGAUUGGGAUCUUAUGGACAUCUUAGAAGUAUAAAGUCUCUGUGGUUGGAGUUAUUGAGGUCCCUAUUGAGUGUAUGACCUCUUAAAGAGCUUGGAUUUGCCUUCUUGAGCUUAUAGGGCCAUGCAUGCACGUAAAGUUUGCAACUUUACGUGAUAAGCAUGCCCUAGGAGCAUAGAUCUAUGGGUUAGAAGCGUUGCAUGUCUUAGAUUUGGUCUGUAUGGGAAGUGGGUCGAAAGGACUCGGCGAGUCCCAAAGUGGAACUCGGCGAGUUCUAUGAAGAUGGUCUUAGACUCGGCGAGUUAGAUGAACAACUCGGCGAGUCCUAUGAAUAUUGUAUGGAACUCGAUGAGUUGUUCUUCAAACUCGGCGAGUCAUAUGAACUUUCACUGAGUAAGAGGGUUUUAAGUGUUGAAGGUCCAACCCUUCGUAUCUGCACGCGAAAUUAGCAGUUUAACAUAGUCUCAAAACCCCAGAUCCUCUUAAGGGAUGCUCUGGUGAGGAUUUGGAAGCGAGUAGGAGAUCUGCUCGUGGGGACUCAACGAGUUGUUCUUGGACUCGGCGAGUCGGAUCACGAGUCGGUUCUAUAGUCCCGAGUAGUUAGUUAAGGGUGACUCAGUGAGUGGGAAGAGGGACUUGACGAGUAGGACCGGGUUAGUAGGAGAAGGACUCGGCGAGUCUAUGCCACGACUCGGUGAGUCCAGUCAACUGGAAGUUGACUUUGACCAAGGAGUUGACCUUGGACCAGGGAUGGGUCAGUCAAUUGACCUAAGGGUAUUUAUGAGUGGCUAAUCUAUGUUUAUGGAUUUGUAGCCGGAGGAUUACCGGUGCAGCAGCCAGACGUCUAGCAGUCAGACUUUCGGUAGCUACUUUUCGAGGUGAGUUUCCUUCCAGUAGUAACGGGUCUAAGGCACCAAGGUCGGCCCGUAUAGACGAUAUGUUAGUGUCGGAGUGUGGUCAUAGCCCGUAUCUCAUGGUUGAGUUUGAUUAUGAUAUAUGCCAGUAUGAUAGAAUUGUUUAUACUCGUUGUCUGUGUGAUACUUGUAUGUUAUGGUUUAGUAGCUGAGUGUGGGCGAGGCCCAUAUGAUAGUGGAGUGUGGGCGAGGCCCGUAUCUCUCAGAUAGCAGAGUGUGGGUGAGGCCCGUAUCUCUUAGAUAAGGGAGUGUGGGCGAGGCCCAUAUCUUCCAGAUAGCGGAGUGUGGGCGAGGCCGGUAUCUUCCAGCUAGCGGAGUGUGGGCGAGGCCCGUAUCUUCAUGAGUGUGGGCGAGGCCCGUAUCUCCUAGUUGUUCAUUGUAUGUUUGUAUGGUAUGAGGUAUUAUGGGGGAACUCACUAAGCUUCGUGCUUACGGUGUGCAGUUUUGUUUUCAGGUACCUCUUCUUCAAGGGGGAAGGAGCUGGCGCGGUAGCGGCCCAUCAUACACGCACCUUGUUUUCCGCACCAUGAGUCAUUCUGGGAUUUUGUACUCUGAUAGUUGAUUGUUUUCAUGUUUCGGUUUUCAGACACGAUGUAUGUUAUGAAAUGGUUGGAUCAGA
rnacentral:lncRNA from 1 species